UCACCAUCAUUAUUAUAAUUAACAGCAAGACUAGUUUGUCUGGGUUGGAGAGUGCCAAAAGGGGAGUCAUGUAAUUAGCUUGAAAAGUUUUGUCAUCUUAGGGAUCUUCAUGUGGAACCAUGGAUUUAGGUCCCUUUCCCUACCAGUACUCUCAAAUGAAGAUCAAGUCUAAAGGCGAGGGGCACCCUGAACCGUGCACUGGAUCCGCUCUAAGCCUGUUGUUCAGGCAUGUCUGACUCUUCUUGACCCCAUGGACAAGAUUCUUCUAUUUUCCACUCUCUCUUCAAGUAUGUCCAAGCUCAUGUUCACUGUUUCCAUGACACUAUCUAUCCAUCUCAUCCUCUGUCAUCGCCUUUUCCUUUUGCCUUCAAUCUUUCCCAACAUCGGGGUCUUUCCCAAUGA